AGUUCGAUCAUGGCUCAGAUUGAACGCUGGCGGGAUGCUUUACACAUGCAAGUCGAACGGCAGCACGGACUUCGGUCUGGUGGCGAGUGGCGAACGGGUGAGUAAUGUAUCGGAACGUGCCUAGUAGCGGGGGAUAACUACGCGAAAGCAUAGCUAAUACCGCAUACGCCCUUCGGGGGAAGCGGGGGACCUUCGGGCCUCGCACUAUUAGAGCGGCCGAUAUCGGAUUAGCUAGUUGGUGGGGUAACGGCUCAAUGGCGACGAUCCGUAGCUGGUUUGAGAGGACGACCAGCCACACUGGGACUGAGACACGGCCCAGACUCCUACGGAGGCAGCAGUGGGGAAUUUUGGACAAUGGGGAAACUCCCGAUCCAGCCAUCCCGCGUGUGCGAUGAAGGCCUUCGGGUUGUAGCACUUUUGGGCAGGAAAGAAACGGCACGGGAUAAUACCCCGUGCAACUGACGGUACCUGCAGAAUAAGCACCGGCUAACUACGUGCCAGCAGCCGCGGUAAUACGUAGGUGCAAGCGUUAAUCGAAUUACUGGGCGAAGCGUGGGCGUGGUGCGGUUCGGAAAGAAAGAUGUGAAAUCCCAGAACUUAACUUUGGAACUGCAUUUUUGACUACCGAGCUAGAGUGUGUCAGAGGGAGGUGGAAUUCGCGUGUAGCAGUGAAAUGCGUAGAUAUGCGGAGGAACACCGAUGGCGAAGGCAGCCUCCUGGGAUAACACGACGUUUCACGCACGAAAGCGGGAGCAAACAGGAUUAGAUACCCUGGUAGUCCACGCCCUAAACGAUGUCAGCUGUUGGGGCCUUCGGGCUCCUGGUAGCGCAGCUAAUCGCGUUGACCGCCUGGGGAGUAAUGGUCGCAAGAUUAAACCCAAAGGAAUUGACGGGACCCGCACAAGCGGUGGAUGAUGUGGAUUAAUCUGAUGCAACGCGAAAAACCUUACCUACCCUUGACAUGUCUGGAAUCCCGAAGAGAUUUUAAGAGUGCUCGCAAGAGAACCGGAACACAGGUGCUGCAUGGCUGUCGUCAGCUCUCGCAUGUGAGAUGCUGGGUUAAGUCCCGCAACGAGCGCAACCUCUUGUCAUUAGUUGCUACGAAAGGGUACCUCCAUCGAGACUGCCGGUGACAAACCGGAUAAAGGUGGGGAUGACGUCAAGUCCUCAUGGCCCUUAUGGGUAGGGCUUCACAUCGUCAUACAAUGGUCGGGACAGAGGGUCGCCAACCCGCGAGGGGGAGCCAAUCCCAGAAACCCGAUCGUAGUCCGAUCGCGCAGUCUGCAACUCGACUGCGUGAAGUCGGAAUCGCUAGUAAUCGCGGAUCAGCACGUCGCGGUGAAUGGCUGUUCCCGGGUCUUGUACACACCGCUGUCACACCAUGGGAGUGGGUUCUUACCAGAAGUAGUUAGCCUAACCGUAAGGAGGGCGAUUACCACGGUAGGAUUCAUGACUGGGGGUGGUUUCCACAAGGUAAC
rnacentral:rRNA from 1 species